ACUCCUACCGGAGGCAGCAGUGGGGAAUAUUGCACAAUGGGCGAAAGCCUGAUGCAGCAACGCCGCGUGAGGGACGAAGGCCUUCGGGUUGUAAACCUCUUUUAGUAGGGAAGAAGCGAAAGUGACGGUACCUGCAGAAAAAGCACCGGCUAACUACGUGCCAGCAGCCGCGGUAAUACGUAGGGUGCAAGCGUUGUCCGGAAUUAUUGGGCGUAAGGAGCUCGUAGG
rnacentral:rRNA from 1 species